rnacentral:lncRNA from 1 species
CUUUUUAGGGCCACAUGUGGGGCAUAGGGAAGUUCCCAGGGUAGGGGUUGAAUCAGAGCUUCAGUUGCCAGCCUACAACACAGCCAUGGCACCUCGGGAUUCAAGCCAAGUCUUCGACCCACACCACAGCUCACGGCAAUGCCGGAUCCUUAACCCACUGGACAAGGCCAGGGUUCAAACCCACAUCCUCAUGGAUACUAGUCGGGUUUGUUAUCGCUGAGCCACAACGGGAAUCCCAUUUUUCUUAUUUUUAAGUGGGGAUAACAAUGACCCUUGUCUCCACAGCAUCAUUGUAUGAACUUGAUCACGGGAGGGGGGGGGGGCAUUUUCGUCCUUCCUCCAAAGCACGUGCCCAGCUGAGAUCAGCAGCCACAGACCAGCUUCCGAAGGCGUGGGGUUGACCACGGUCGGCCCCACCACUACAAACCUCUCCCUGUCUACAGAGUUUGGCUUAUGGUUUGCACAUUAAAUAAAACACAGAAGAUAUAACCUCCCCUCUCUGAACACACAGUACUUGGUACUGCAGGGCAGGGAGCAUCUUGGCCACAGAGGCUUCUCAGAAAAAAAUGUUAGUUGCCACAGGGGCAGUGCCAGGACUCAGCCGUGAGAAGCCACCAGCCAGGCCAUGGGUUAGCAGUGUCUUCAGAAGACACUUAAGGUUGAUCUGAAUCAGAAAACUGGGUCAUGCCUGAGCUUCUCUUAUCAGCCUGGUUUUCUUUAGGAGCAAAAACCACCCCAUUUCAAAUGCCUGAACAGCCUCAGAAAGUCAAAACCAACCAGGCUUUUGCACGGAAACAUGAACCAGACCAAGGGCUCCCCUGGAGGUGACUCAGAGAAGCGCCCACCUGCAUCCCCUGCUGAGUCCCCUGCAGAGGUACACGUCCCACCAAGCCAGGCAAGAGGUCGUGGUGGCUUCGCAGCUGCGUUGCUCGGCUGGUAUCAGCGUUCAUUUGUGCAGGCUUCGUUUCCAGAGCUGCAGCGUGCACACCCUGGGGUGUGCCCGGGGGAUCUAUGCGGCUGCUCUAAAGCCCCCAGCCCCCGCCAUGUCCCCUGGGACACCCACCAUGCCGCCCUCUGGUUCUAGGACGGCCGGGCCAGGCCGGGAGGAGAAGCAAAGUCAAGGCAGAGACGGGAGCUGGAAGACAAGCACGUGGAAUGAGGCCUCCCUCUCCCGCGUUCGAAGCCAAUUUCCCACCUGGCCACACGAGGACAUUUAAUUACUGCUUUGCUCGUCACCUCCUGCAAGUCAUUCAUAAUGACCCUCUGUAAAUACCGGCCCAUCUCACAGCCAGAAGCCACCGGCCACCCCCUCCUGCCCCACCACAGCCGCCCACCGGCUCCCGCAGGCCUUCCUGCAGGUUUCAAUCCUGGAGACGGACCCUAGAGGCAACCCGGUUGAAUUCACCUUUCAAAUGAGAUUUCUGGAUGCAUCCAUUUCAUUUCCAUCGCCCCCUAAUGCUGUGGAGGGUUUUUUUUUUUUAAUUCUAUUAAAAAAUGCAAUUAAAUUUGUCUCAUGGAAUUUGCUCUUUAAAAAUCCGGACAGCUGCUUGCUCGUGGCAGCAUCAUGCCCUUGACUCCUUCGCAUGGCUUUUCUUCAUCUCCGUUCAGUUAUUUCACUGAGGAUUAAAGAUGGGCUCACCAGAUGGCAAAUGCCAGGAUCUCUUCCCCCCCACCCCCCGACUCAGAACAGUACCCUGUCGGCCGGGAUGCACAGCCCAGGCCCCUCUGUGCAGCUCUCCGGACAAACAAUUGUUCCUUUUAAAUUCGCUCAACUCCAAAGAACAAUGAAGACGCAGCUCAAGAACAGAAAGCUGAGCACACAGCUCUGGGAACAUUCCGGAGCCCCGCCCCGCAGGCCCCGCCCCACAGGCCCUUCCUCUCUGCAUCUUUCUUGCUUCCUUUGGGCCAGGAAGCCCAUGAGGUCGUGUCUGCGGCGAGAUGGUGGGUGUUUCCAAAGAAAGACUCCGUAGACACAGCAUUCUGCUUGCCGACAGUCAGGGAUGCGGGGGAUUUGGCCUGGCUGGCUUUAUAAACUACCGACGGGCCUGCUCCUUGCAAAACACUAUUUUUAUCAGUUAAUUACACAGUUUUCUUAUUAAAUAACAACGGGAACACAUUUCUCGUGUGUUUUCUUGUAGCGAUUAAUUGAACCUGCCGCCCUGCACAAAAAGUCUGGUUCUCAUCUCCGCUGCCGGACGAGGCACAGCCCUUGACAGUUCAGCUCCUUCUAUGAACAGGAACGCGUUCCACUGCCAGGCCGGUCCUUUGCCCGAAUCCCCGAAAUGAGUUCCUUCCCUCACAAGAACACGUCUCUGGGUCUAAGACCAACGUCUGCAGAACAGACGUCGCCCUGGAAAUGACUUUCCUGCUGCGGUUCUGCCUGUGCCUGCGGGCACGUGGUCAGGUGCAGCGCGGAGCCCGAGCAGCCCGGUCGGUCACACUUGGGGAGGAGACGCGACGUGGGGAGAGAGGCCUUGUCGUGCUCAUUUUUCAAACAGGCCCACGUGCGAUGUGACUGGGCUGGGGGUGGAGCAGGAAGGGAAAGGCCAAAGCCAGUGACAGUCACUGCGGCCUGGGCUUUUCUAUUGCUGUUGGUUAUUCUAAUUGAUAAUCACUUUAAAACUAGUUUUAUUAUGUGCUUAACCCUUGACCUAGAAAGGGGACCCAAGUCAGGCCCUCAUGUUAUUGCUCCAACCCACAGAGAAAGACUAGAAGGCCAACAAGAAAAGCCACAAUUUUUGAGGCCAAGUAGUUAACCACAGCAAUUACAGAAACGGUCCCGAGAAAAGGAAGUUCAGGUGUUUUCUCAAUAUAUUCCUUGUGGUGGGCGGGCAGCCUCUAAGAGAGCUGCCUCGGGAUCCCCCCUCCUGAUAGUCAGUCCUCCUGUGCUCCCUCCCUCUUGAGCGUGGGCUCAACUUACUGAUCAGCUUCUAAUGAAGAAAACGCUGCAGAAACAGGAGCUGUCACUCCCAAGACUGGGUUACCCAUGGCCUGAGGCCUCUUCCUUGGGGGGCCCCUCACUUGCUCGUUGACCGUAAGGAAAGCCGGCCCUCUGAUGAAAACCAGGCCACAAGAUCCUGAGAGGGAGGUAGAGAAAACCAGGGGCCCCGCGUCUUACAGUCCAGGAGCCGCAGAACCCUCCCAGCAACCACAGCGGGGAGCUUGGAAGCAGGUGCCCCCAGCCCAGAGCACAGGCUAGUUUGCAGGCCAGAAGAGAGCCUGACUGCAGCCCCGCUAGAAAGUCUGGGACAGGAGUUCCCGUCCUGGCUCAGCAGAAGCAAAUCGGACUUGUGUCCAGGAGGAUGCGGGUUUCGAUCCCUGGCCUCUCUCCGAGGGGUGAGGAUCCUGCAUGGCUGUGGCUGUGGUGUAGGCCACAGACGUGGCUCAGGUCUGGUGUGGCUGUGGCGUAGGCCACAGACGUGGCUCAGGUCUGGCGUGGCUGUGGCUGAGGCUGUGGUGUAGGCUGGCAGCUGUAGCUCCGACUCAACCACUAGCCUGGGAACUUUCACAUGCCCCAGGUGCGACCCUAAAAAGACAAAUUAAAAAAAAGAAAGAAAGUCUGAGACAGCAGCGCACAGCUAAUCCAUACCCAUGACUCCUUAUCUCAUGGAAAACAUUGGCUUUGUGGGGUCAGCAAUUGAUAAUUCAUACCCAACUUCUCCCCGGUAAACUUAAUCCAGAAUUAACACGACAUACUGCAGUGAUGGCGGGAAAAAGUCGACUGCUUCCCUGUCUUUUACUCAUGAAAUUAUUAAUCAACCAAAACCCUUUUUCCCUGCCAGAUAUGAUCUUAAAAACUUCACAGCACCCCCCUCCCCGACGCCAUCCCCAAUGCUCGGGGUUGGCAACGGAGGGAGAAGCUAGUCACCGCCCCCUGAGCCAAGGGCAGACUCAGAGUCAGCGGGCCUGAGGUCUACUCGCAAAAGCCCAGAGACUUUGGGGAAGCGUUUACCCUCUUUGAACGUCGUCUUCAUCUUCCGUAAAAUGGAGACGGUCUCUUUGGACGCUCUGCGGUAUAAGCAACAGAACUCGACAAAAACAGUCUUCGGAGGACUCCUCGUCUUCCCAGGCACCCUCCUCAGGGGCUGGGCUCUGCUCUUUUGGCCACAAGCUGGUUCCAGCAGCACCACGUCCUCCUCAGGGAGGCUCCCCAGCAUGAAACGGAAGCGCUCUUGUCUCCAGGUCUGUAAUUGAGGAAAGAUGCCCCACCCAGUCCCCAGCAGAAUUCCCCAGCGCCCUCUUUGCCAGACUUGGCUUUCAUGCCUCAUCCUUAAGGAACGGAUGGCCAAGGGCACUGAGGCGACUGUGACCUGCUAAGACCGCCCCUUUUCACCCCUGGUGUUGGAAGACACCCAGCCUGUCCCGAAGCAUCUGGUCCUCCGGAGAGGAGCUGGCAGAUGCUGAGCUCCUGUAGACAAGAACAGGGGAGGCUGCUGUUGGGUGCACAUUCGUCCCUGUGGGUGGGCCAGGUCCUGUUGGAUGUGACACACGUGGCACUCAUGCCUUGCUUGCGCUGCGGGCCCGUGCAGGUCAGUGAGGGCGGGGCUCGAGGUGGGCCCACGGCAGGGGCCUUGGCACGGGCUGCAGCAGCAGAGGAAGCCCCGAGGCCUUUCCUUCUUUGUCAAGUUCACUCACACAUCUUUGUCCAGAGCAAAUGAGGGCCCCGCGUCACCUCACGGGGGCUGGAAAGUGCCAGCUUCCAUGGACCCGGAGAAAGACAAUGGAACAGGAGUGGUUUUCUCCGACCCCAGUAAGCAAACACCUCGGAUGGCAGUGAAGCCUCAUCUCCUCAUUAGGUUUAUCGAGGUUCAAAUGAGAUCGUGUGUUUAUUCGUUUCUCAUUCAUGAAACACCUAAUAUGAUUUCCCAGGCACUGGCCUGGGGCAGCUCGGCAAGACACAGUCACGGCCCCUCCCAGAUGUGACCCCUGAGAAGGGGACGAAGUGGCUCCGGGUCCUUCCAAGCUGGCUCGCCUUUCCUUCCCCUUCCAGGUCUAGCGUGCUUCUCUCGCGUGCUUGUCCUCCUGCGGUUGGUCUUAACUUUGUCUUCCUCUUGUUGGUGUCAAGUCCUCGCAGGGCCCUCAGGAGGCUAUGUUGCGAAAGGGGACUGGUCCGGAGUGGCUCGGUGUCCAGGGGUGGCAGUGACAGCGGCGGGGACGACGCUGAGCCCAUAUUCACAGACACCGUCUUUCCUUGAUCUCGCUCAGCCCACCGAGAGGGAGAAGAUGGGUUUGAUCUGGCUCCUUUCCAAAUUCCUUUCCCAUGGCUUGGCUGCCUCAUGGGAAACGAGAUUCCUGCUCGAGUCAAUUCUAAGCGCUCAUCCACCUCCCCCUUUAACCAGCACCGUUAUUGCUGGUUUCGCACCUCUUGCAAGUGUCAGCUUCUUAAAGAAGGCGUCAUGAUACCGUUUGAGUUGACCAGCCUACGGUUACAGAGAGGCCCCCAAACUUCAGUGGCUUCAUGCAAACUACCAGCUGGGUCACCCGCUCAGUUCAGGUCUGCAGGGUUCUUCACGUGACCGACAGAGGCUCGGCCUGAUGGCGGUUGUGCACUUUCAACCGUGUCUGCCAGAGCUGCCCUGGCCAUUGGCAGCUCCACCAACUCGAGAAGAAAGCUCGUGGAUGGAGCUCGGAGGAGGUUUUCUGGGGGCUGGGUUUAGAAACCAUCUGUCACUUCUGCCCACAUAGCACUGCGGAGAGCGCAGCCACGUGACUGCCCCCAACAGCAAGGGAGGCUGGGCAACAUCACUUAAUGUGUCCCCAGGAAGGAAAGAGAACAGAUUUUGGUGGCUAGCCAGCACUCUCGCCCACACUCACCCACACGACUUCCUGUUUUUUAAUUUGGCAAAAGCUGAGAUCACAGAGUGUUUCUAUCCAGCAAUGUCCUUUUGUCCUGACAAGGCCAUGCUCUUUCUGGGAGGAGAGGUUCUCCAGGCUCAUGAUGCAGGCAGUGGACAGAGGCCACUGCCCACCUUCCCUAGAGCACAGCUUCGCCUACUGUCUUGAUCAAGUCCUCCAGUUCCAGACAGAUCACCUUGAGACCUUCCCAGCAGAGAGAGAGACCAGAGGAUGCUUCCCAGGUAAGAACCACCCUUUUCCAGCGGUCACCAAAGGAGAAAGACUGAUGUGAAACACACGUCAUCAGCCGCAAGACUGGGGGAGGGUCUUCUCCAAGAACCACUCUUCACUCACUCACUGAACAAGCAUCUGCUGAACUUGUGUGGACCAGGCCCUAUGCUAUAGACAUGGGCAGUGCACGGAUGGACCAGACUGGACUUCAGAGUCUGGAUUUAUAAAAGAAAGCACAUAGGAUUAUAUGUCUAUAUCUCACGAUAAGCAAUUAUCAAAGAAGAAGGCGGCCGAGGCAGGUAAUUACAGCAGAGGUGGGAGGGGUGGCUAAGCUAAGACCUGAAGGUCAAGGUGUUAGUUGUGCAAAGAGAGUGGAGGAGGGGCAAGCCCUCCAAGGAGAGGGAGCAGCACGUCAAAGGCCAGGGAGAAGGAAGGCGCCUGGCAUGACUGAGGAAGAGAAAUGUGGCUGGUGUGGCUGCAGAUGGUGAAGGAAAAGACGGUGAGAGACGAGACUGGAAGAGCGCAGGCUCAGGUCGUGAAGAGUUUGGUAGGUCACGACGAGGAACUGGAAUUAAUCCAAAUAAACUGGGAAAAGCCAGCGGGGGCUUUAUGAAGUAGAGGACAUGAACGCAUCCGUCUGCUCGGGCAGCCACAGCAGAGGACCAUGGCCGAGUGGCUUAAAUAACACAGAUGCAUGGUCUCACGUUGUCCGAGGAGGCUAGAAACCUGAGAUCCCGGAGUCCGUAGGCGUGGUUCCUUCCAAAGCCGGGAAGGAAACCUGUUUCAUGCCUCCCCCAGCUUCCGUGUUUGCUGGCGAUCCCUGGCACCUCUUCUAGACGGCAUUGCCCUCGUGUCUCCACAUCACCUUCCCUCUGAGCAUUUCUCCUCCUCCUCCACGUGGCAUCACUUCCAAUGGGGUCCCGGUCGUAGUGGAUAGGCACCCACCUGCUCCACACGGCCUCAUCUCAACGACUCUCUUUCCAAACCAGGUCACUGCGUCCUGAGGCACCGUGAAUGGGGGCGGGGCAGCUCCCCCCGAAACACACACUUUGUAAGGUUCCUCUCUGCUCGGUGUGAACGGGGAGAGCAGGCAGUCUGAGCAGAGGUGGACAGGCCGGUGGGAAGGGGGAUGUCACUGCUGUCAAGGUGAAGGUCGAUGUGUACCUGGCCGAGGAGUCCAAGGGGAUGCAGCCUAUAUUUUGUUGCUCAAACCAGCACGACCGCUGGUGGAUUGUAUCUUGCUGGUGAGGGAAAGGGGUGAAUCGAGGAUAACUGUAAGUUUCUGGCUUGAGCCGGAAGAAAGAUGGUGAUGAAAUUUAUGAGAUGAGGAGGAAUUGGGGAUUAGAGACACAUUUUGGGAUAGAGCCCCGUGGUUUUAUUUUGGAUAUGUUAAGUUUGAGGCGUGCACGAACCAUCCAAGUAGAGAGACCAAGUAGGCCGUGGCAUAUAAGAAUCGGGAGUACGAAGAAGUCUGCUGCAGAUAUCGACGUGGAGGCAUCAGCAUACAGCAUCUCUACAAUGGCUGGGAAUGGGAGCGGUGGGGGGUGUCCUCCUCCCUGCUCGUCCUGUUCCCCAGCCGGCCCCGCUGCACCCGUGCCUUAUCCUGGCAUCUCCACGGAGCAGCCCAGGGGUCCGGGAUGUUCUGAAGUGCAGGCGCAGAGGCUCCGUCACCCUUCCUCAAGGGAGGCAGAGUGCUGGGGCCCUGACUGUCUAGUGAGCCCCCGUGACGGGCCACACUGGGCUCUGCCCGGAUCCACAGCCCUUGGUUUCUGGAGAAGAUGGAGACGGAGCUCUCCCAGGUUUGUAUCCAGCACAGACCGUCCGCACCCGAGGCACCCACGCAGCCCAAGGUGCAUGGCCACUAAGUCCUCCCAACACGGGUGAGCACGCGUCCACACAGCGCGUCCCUUCCCCAGAAAUGACCUAAACUUUGUGAGGUUCACGUGUCCCUGGCGAUGAUCUCAUUUGCCUGCUUCAAAAGCGCUUUGGUCUGCACAGCCUGUAGCAGCAAAUUUACACUUCAAAAAGCAGAGUUUUUUCCACACCGUAUUCACGUAAUGGGUGAGAAUGUAAAAUUCGUUCCGUUGCUGAUGAGGUCCUUGAGCCAAAUGAGAGGUGUUCAUUUGUCAGCACAGAUGCACAGCCCGAGACGCGGUUAGGUAGCUAAUCCAAUAAUGGGUCUUGAUGCUGCGCAUUUAUUUAUACACAGUGUGUCUUGUUAUCUGUUGAUAAUCAGGACCCACAAUUUACUCUUUCUUGUGCAUGUAGUGUGAAAUAGCAACGUCGCCCAGACACAUUGCGUUUAAGUACCAACAUGCAGACACAUACGAAAAGCGCCGUCCUCAGCAAAAUAUUUUAUUUGCUUUCUGUUAAAAAAGGAAGAGAGAAUUGGUGCUUAAACUCAGGCCUUUUAAUACGUUAAAAUAUAAACAGUAAAUAACCUACGAGGCCCUUCUCAGAACGAAGGGUUUAAAAAAAAAAAAAAAAAAAAA